ensembl:lncRNA
UUGGCUAUAUCGUAAAAGAUCAUGAAAACAAAAGUUAGCUUUUUGGUCUUGAUUUAAGGUUAUGGUUAGGCAUUAGGUUAGCAGUGUGGUUAAGGUAAGGGAUUGUGUUAGGCUUAAAUCCGAUUUUAAGAUAAACUUGGGUUUAUGACUUUGGCUGUGGUAACUAGUGGCGACCCUAGGCUACAGUUGACAGGGCACCGAUUGUCACCUUCCUCUGUUCUUCACUCUUCAGUGAUGCGCGUGGAGGAGUCUGUGCGGCUCGGAUAGGUCCAGUCUUCGCUGGUAUGUGCUGUCUGGCACUGGUCAAGUAGCCAUUGACUUUGGACUGUGACCCUGAACCUGUACUCCUGAGGUUCUCCAGGAUGGUAGGGUGAGGGGCUGACAUGAUGGAACAUGAUUGAGGAGGCACAAUAUCAGAUGUCACUUUUCCAUUUGGAGAGGGGAUGUCUGGCUGAGGAAGAAGUAGUAUCUCUGUGUCUGAUGAGGGAGAGGAGGCUUUCUAUAUGCCUGAAAGGAGACCCUCCCUGGACCUGGGCAAUGGCCUGAGACCCAUGUACACGGCGCAUGUCACGUGUCCACAGUAAUGUUUCCUGUUUGAUGAUCCUUUCAUCAUCCAUCCUCAAUCAUUGAUAUUUGGUGUGUGUUUAGUAGGCAUGAAAAGGAAAAGGGCUCGAUCAUUGUCCAUGUGAUGUUCUAUGUACAGAGUCCAGCAGCAAAGAACAGAGUCGUACUCCAGCUGCUACUCUGUGGACAGUUGACUGUGAGAUCAAAUCAAAUUUUAUUUGUCACAUACACAUGGUUAGCAGAUGUUAAUGCGAGUGUAGCGAAAUGCUUGUAACCAGAAACAGGAAGUAAGAACAGUCCUCCAUGUUUGAUCAGUCACAGACAGGAUGCAAACUAUGUUUAAGUGUGUUUUUAUGGUGUAAUUAUGUAUAUGUUUAUGUGAGUAUUUGUUGCUGGGUUUAGUGGGAAUAUAAUGUGGAUGUAUGUCCAUUUGUUUACAAAAUGGUCAUAUCUAUGUUUAGGCUCAUGCACCAGUAUGUGUAGUAGUUUCAUCUCCCACUACCUCUCUAGGUCUCAAAGUUUCUUGCAGUGGAACUUCCUCCAAGACCAGAGCUGAUCAAAAACCCAGAUGAGAAGAGGCACCCUGCCCUGACUGUAGACUUCACCUUCAAGGCCACCAGGAAGACACUGGGGAAGGAAGUUUAAGAUCAUGCUGUGGAAGCGUUACCCAGAGUUGUUGUUCAGUGCUCCUCCCCAGGGCAUGGACAUGGUGACUUGUUGGACAGGCUGCUGGAGUAUUAUGACCUAGGGGUGGCCCUGCAGCUCACCAAGGCCCUGUCGGAGGACAUGGGCCUCAAGCGCCUGGCUGACUUCCCCAGGGACAUUUGCAAAAGAAGUAUGCACAUCUUCUUUAUUUUAUUUGAUGAAUGUAAUAUACACUGAGCAAAAAUAUCAACGCAACAUGUACAGUGUUGGUGUCAUGUUUCAUAAGCUGAAAUAAAAGAUCCCAGAAAUGUUCC